rnacentral:rRNA from 1 species
CUUCCUACGGGACGCAGCAGUGAGGAAUAUUGGUCAAUGGGCGAGAGCCUGAACCAGCCAAGUCGCGUGAAGGAUGACGGCCCUACGGGUUGUAAACUUCUUUUGUCAGGGAGCAAUUGGGUCCACGUGUGGGCUUAGCGAGAGUACCUGAAGAAAAAGCAUCGGCUAACUCCGUGCCAGCAGCCGCGGUAAUACGGAGGAUGCGAGCGUUAUCCGGAUUUAUUGGGUUUAACGGGUGCGUAGGCGGAAUAUCAAGUCAGCGGUAAUAAUUCGGGGCUCAACCCGGUCGUGCCGUUGAAACUGGU